rnacentral:lncRNA from 1 species
UCAGACAAAGUGUGGAGAUUUUCUAGUUUGGCUAUUUGUACUGGCAUCUCCCUCAAUGCGGUGUUACUAACGUCAAGGUGGCGCAGAUUAAUCAAUUUUCCCAUGUCCUCCGGCAAUUCAGUAAGCCUUUUACAGCCUGCCAACAACAAGAACUGCAGAUUGGCUUGUUGGUGGUAGUUAUGUGCUCCAAAUGCAUGUUCUUCUAGUAAAGUUCAACAAUCUUCGGUUUUCAACGGUCUCAGAUAAUGGAUGGAAAGAAUGGUUUGCAUGGAUACUGCAAUUCUUUCAUCUCGUGUUGUGACGAUGACCCUACUUCCUGUUUCCCCAGCAUUCAAGAUAUUCACCAGUAAUGUCCAAUCGACAGAUUUUGCAUCCCACACACCAUCUAAUACUAGCAAAAAAUUGGGUAAACGGUGUUGAUGUCACUUGUACCAUUACUCCUUGUUUUUGGAGUAAUAGAUCUAACAAUGUUUUCAAAAACACUGAAAUCAUCAACAUGAUUUGAGAAAUCUGCCCACACUUUACCUUGUUUUUGGAGUAAUAGAUCUAACAAUGUUUUCAAAAACACUGAAAUCAUCAACAUGAUUUGAGAAAUCUGCCCACACUUUGAACUCAAAUUUGGCAUGUUAGCAUAAAGAAGUACAUGUUGAAGAUCCACCAGUGUUUCCUUCACCUUUUUCGAAAGUGAAAUGUUAGCAUUCUUGAUCCGGAAGGUGUCGACGUCGACGAGCUGAGUAGAAACAAUCUUCUCUAACAACACUUUCAGAGUUUGAGAGUGACAUAACUGUUUCUUUCUGAAUACCAUCCAUUAGAUACUUUGUUUGUAACAACAAGAAGAAGAUGAAGAAUUGCUUGAGAAAGAAAUAACAACAAAAUCAAGAAUGAUUUUUUAUAAAAGAAAUCUGUUCCUUUCCUACCACCGCGUUACGCAAUUUGUAUAUCAAUUAAUCGACUGCCUUGCCCCUAUUUCUAAAAAUUCUAACAUGCCCUCCAUUUUGAAAUAAAUAAUUCAAAAUAUCCUAUUUUUAAUCAUUCCUUUCUAUUCUCUUUGUUCACCGCAUCAAAAUUCUAACAUGCCCUCCAUUUUGAAAUAAAUAAUUCAAAAUAUCCUAUUUUUAAUCAUUCCUUUCUAUUCUCUUUGUUCACCGCAUCCAUCAAAAAUCGAGAAUUUAAUCUGUUAGUCUAUACUUGUAAAAGUUAAAUGUAAAAAAUCAACCGGAAGUCAACCGCCUAGUCACUCUUAAAAACUUCUUUACUUGUCUAAGUUUCCUGUUUUCUUACAUCAAUACAUAGAAUACUUGUUGAUGUGGGUCAAGAUGGAAAUUGGGGUUUUCUUGCUAUCGUAGCUUUACUUGCUAAAACAUGUCCGGUAUCAAAUUUGUGAUGAGGAUCACUAUGAUAUACAAAGUGACAUCAAUGUUAUUUACAACUCAUGAGAUUAUGUCUCUCAAAUCAAUAUAUGCACAACAAAAUGCAACCUAUCCUCUUUUUAUUCUUAUGAGUAUGGAUCCUCUCUACUGCAUCCAGUGUUCUAUGUGAAAGCAGUUGCUGCAAAAUCAAAUCUGACAGAUAAUUGUUGCUCGUCGUAGAUACUCCAGCAGUCAUCUCCUUUCUAUAUCCUGUAAAAAAAACCGAAGAGAAAUGGAAGUAAAUAAUAGUCAAAUUUGGAGUCAGUGGUGUUUUCUCCUUUCAUUUGUUCCUGAACAGAAAAACAGUUACAGGACAUGGUGGCAGGUUUUGAGGUGAAUUUGGCUUCUUGCAACAACAAGAUCGGGAAGAAGCAGGGGUGACACAAUAGAAUUUUAUGAUUAAAAUUAAUGAGUUAGUGCUAGUGCUAUAAUAUUGUAUUUUGAUGUUACUAUUGAAAUUCAUAAUAAUUGAUGAUAACAUAAUAUGAAAGAAACAACAAAAGCAGUAUUUAAAAGACUCACCCGGAAAAGACUCAUGUGAUCAAUUCGUCAUCAAUAAUUAUGGAGGGAAUGUGAGCAAUCUUACGCCACUCUUUCCCCCGCUUUUUCCGUAAACUUGCUUCCAGUAAUGGACAGCGAGUCACACUUAGUACUGAAAGAGAGGAAGGAAAUCCUUUCUUUGGCAACGACUUGAGUUUGGGAGCGUUAAUAAUCUCAAGGUUUUGGAGAGAAGUGAGGUGUUGAAGCCACUUCUCAUCCAUGCUUGUAUCAUUAAGACCACAAAUGCAUAGUGUCACAAGCGAUGUAGGUAGCAAUGGUCCCAUCAGCGUGUUCACUAUGUCAUUGCCGUUAAUUCGCAACUCCGAGAGACAAGUGAGGUGUUCCCAAGUUGGCUCAGUAUCCCAUAUAAUCCCACCAACAGAGCCAACAGAUAGUUUCUGUAAACGGCUAGGCAACUCAUCUAUGACAAAAGAUUGAAGAUUUGGUAGAUUAUCGAUUUCCAUUUCUUGAAGGCUAGCCAGACUGUUCAUUGCUUCUGGCAGUGAAUGAAGCUUCUCACACUUCCACAGUGCAAUAUAAAGGAGAUUUGGAGUUGCCAAUUCACCUGGGGAAAAUGACUCCAGUUUAUUACAAUCCCAUAUUUUGAUGCUUCUAAGAAAUGAGAGACUCUUUUCCGACUNNNNNNNNNNNNNNNNNNNNNNNNNNNNNNNNNNNNNNNNNNNNNNNNNNNNNNNNNNNNNNNNNNNNNNNNNNNNNNNNNNNNNNNNNNNNNNNNNNNNNNNNNNNNNNNNNNNNNNNNNNNNNNNNNNNNNNNNNNNNNNNNNNNNNNNNNNNNNNNNNNNNNNNNNNNNNNNNNNNNNNNNNNNNNNNNNGUUGAGCACUUCUCAUCCAUUGCUUGUAUCAUUAAGACCACAAUGCAUUAGUGUCUCACAAGCGAUGUAGGUAGCAAAUGGUCCCAUCAGCGUGUUCACUAUGUCAUUGCCGUUAAUUUCGCAACUCGAGAGACAAGUGAGUGUUCCCAAGUUGGCCUCCAGUAUGCCAUUAUAAUCCAGCAACAGAGCCAACAGAUGUCGUAAACGCUAAGGCAACUCAUCUAUGACAAGAUUGAAGAUUGCGUGAUAUAUCGAUUGUCCCAUUUAUCUUAGGCUAGCCAGCGUUCAUUGUUACCUUCUGGAGUGAAGUGAACUUCUCACCACUUCCACAGUGCAAAUAAUACGAAGGAGUAUUUGGAGUGUGCCCAACCACCUAGGGAAAUGACUCCAGUUUAUUACAAUCCAUAGUUUGAUGCUUCUAAGAAAUGAAGACUCUUUCCGACGUCGUCUUCUCAUUAAUAUUGAUUUCAGAUUUAUACAACCCUCAAUGAAUCAGAGGUCUUGAGACAGGGAGAGUGCCUAAGGUAAAUGAUAUCAUUUGAAUUACAACUAUAAGAUAUUUUCAAUUCCUCAAGCAAUGUAUAAUUUAUGCAAAUUAGGUCGUGAGGAAGAAUUCUAGAUUCUCACAAUUACUGAUUAUGAGAAGUUUCAAGUUUUGGCAAACCGAUCUGUUGGAAAAGACAUUGAAGGAUGGAAUGCCGUUCUAUGGUGAGCUGUUGAGAAUCAGAGGGACAUCAGUUGCCGAAAUACAUGAUCGAAUUGGCAUUGAUGAACCAGUAAAAGACAUUCACUUAACUCAAGUCAGUUUAAGGAAGGAAUUUUGUCAUUAUGUUUCCUACUAUCAGAUUUCGGGCACUUACUAAGGAUAAAGUUUUUAGACUAGGAAAGCGUUGUAGUCGUAACCUCCAAGUCAAGUCCCAUUCCUCCAUCUUGAUAUCUCAAAGGUUAGAUUCCAAAGGAGGGAAAUGGUUGAAAUGAAGACCACACUCUCCAUAGAACUCAAUACCAAUUGUCUCCACUGAUUGAUCCCUUCAAUAAUGAGUUCUUUCAGAUUACUCAAUGUCCAAGGGGUGGAAGCCAUAAACAAUCAUACAAUUCGAGAUCCUUAAAUACACCAUGUUGUAAAUGAAAAAUCACCUAACCAAUUUGGAAGUUGAUUCCACCAUCGCUUUGAUGGUGAGACUUUUCAAAUUGUUGAGGGUCGCCAACUUUUCAAGUACAACACUUUGACUUUGUGAAUGUAAAAAGUACUACCACAAUCCCAUUCCAAGACUAAUUCGUUAUUGUUCUUCAUCUUUAUGUUGGCUCGAUCUACUUCAAAGGGGUAUUAACAUUUGUAGAUGUGAGAUUGAAAGUUUUCUGUGUAGGUGGAGAAGUUUCCUAGCUUUGCAAUUUCAAUCCACUUUAUGUUUGCUGACAACAAAGUCAGACAAGUGUGGAGAUUUUUAGUUUGGCUAUUUGUCGGGGCAUGUCCCUCAAUGCGGUGUAUACUACGUCAAGGUGGCGCAGAUUGAUCACAGAGACAACAUGCGUAAUUGUUUCAUUGUUGGCAGCAAGUCAUGUACUACCUUGUUAGAUAGCAAACAAAGAGGCAAUUGUUCUUGUAAUGGGAAUGCUAGAAAGGUACGCAAACCAUUUAAUCCGUAUAAUUUAUCAAAUUUGCCAUAUGAAUCAUAUGUCUCUCUGUUGUAUGAAAAAUUCUGCAUCCUACCAUGUAGGUUAUGUUUGUGCAUAUUGAUACGGUAUGGAGAUGAAACCUCUGUAGCUAGAUCAUGGAUGAAGUUGUGCAUUCCAAAGUUUCCUUCCUCAUCACCAAUAGAUUGUCGAUGUAUCAAUGACCUUGACACUAGUUCAUCAAAGUAUUCUUCUCCAACUUUUUCUUGAUCUGUGGAAGAUGAUUCAAGUAAGCCUGCUGCAAUCCACAACUGAACUACCAUCUUUUUUUCUAAGACGGACUUCUUCGGAAAAAUUGAACAAUAUUGAAAACACCGUUUUAAAGGAAAAGAAAGGAAAUUGUAGCUCAAUUCGAGAGAAGCUAGCACCUCAUAAGUUGUUACCUGAAAGUGACUUUCUAGCACAUAAUUCCAAUCAUAUGGGUUUACUGAGAUGCGAAGAAGAGCCCCAUGUUCUACCGCGGCUAAUGGUAAUCCAUCACACUCUUUUGCAAUUUUUCUGACAAUUUCUUUUUUAAAUGUGCCAACUUCUUCUAGAUAGGAUCGUUGUUGGUAGUUAUGUGCUCCAAAUGCGUGUUCGGCAAGUAAAGACCAACAAUCUUCAACUUUCAAGGGUCUCAGAUAGUGGACAGAAAGAAAGGUUUGCACG